UAAAAAUUGUUUAAAACGAAAUUAUAACCAAGACAGUGCGCGUAUUGUCAAGCAUAUAUAUUGUGUAUUGGUACGUAAGAACAAAAGAUGUAAUUAAUUUUGAUAGAUCUGGGGAGUACUUGUCAGUGCACCCCACUAAAGCAGACCCUGCUUAUGAAGUCACCUUGGUGAAUGCAACACAGUGGCAGCACUAGGCACCCCGAACAUAGCAGGGCAGCUUAGGAUGACAUGGAACAGCUCUUUGACUGGAGGAGAGAAGGUCAACAUAGAGCUGUGGGGUUACAGAGAGUUCAACAGCAGCACAGAGGCGAGGAUGAAUGGAUCAUACUCCCUGCAGGCUGAGCUCAGCUACCUGUACUCCCUCACCAGGAAUGUGCCCAACAUUGGUUCCUUCAGUUUUAUCCCCAAACCCUCCGAUGGAUACUCUGACUGGGAGCUGGGGAAUAUCCGUAUAACUACUAGUUCUAAAUCAGAGCAAGGUAUCAUAAGACACUCAGAAAUAUCUUAUUACAUUAUAAAACAUUUUCUGACGGUAUUUUAAUCAUAUCUGUAAAAAGUGCAUAUUCAUUGUGAUUAUGCAAACUUCACAACUGAUAAGAAUCGGCACAGUUGUAGGGAACAAAAUGGUCAAAAGUGGCAUGUAGAGUUGAAAACGCUUUUAAAGUACAGUAUAUUUACUUUAUACCUAU